AUUGAACGCUGGCGGCAGGCCUAACACAUGCAAGUCGAGCGGUAGCACAGAAGAGCCUGCUCUUUGGGUGACGAGCGGCGGACGGGUGAGUAAUGUCUGGGAAACUGCCUGAUGGAGGGGGAUAACUACUGGAAACGGUAGCUAAUACCGCAUAACCUCGCAAGAGCAAAGAGGGGGACCUUCGGGCCUCUCGCCAUCAGAUGUGCCCAGAUGGGAUUAGCUAGUAGGUGAGGUAAUGGCGCACCGAGGCGACGAUCCCUAGCUGGUCUGAUAGGAUGACCAGCCGCACUGGAACUGAGACACGGUCCAGACUCCUACGGGAGGCAGCAGUGGGGAAUAUUGCACAAUGGGCGCAAGCCUGAUGCAGCCAUGCCGCGUGUAUGAAGAAGGCCUUCGGGUUGUAAAGUACUUUCAGCGGGGAGGAAGGCGUUAAGGUUAAUAACCUUGGCGAUUGACGUUACCCGCAGAAGAAGCACCGGCUAACUCCGUGCCAGCCGCCGCAGUAA
rnacentral:rRNA from 1 species